rnacentral:rRNA from 1 species
AUUGAACGCUGGCGGCAUGCUUUACACAUGCAAGUCGAACGGUAACAGGCCUUCGGGUGCUGACGAGUGGCGAACGGGUGAGUAAUGCAUCGGAACGUGCCCAAUCGUGGGGGAUAACGUAGCGAAAGUUACGCUAAUACCGCAUAAGCCCUGAGGGGGAAAGCAGGGGAUCGCAAGACCUUGCGCGAAUGGAGCGGCCGAUGUCAGAUUAGCUAGUUGGUGGGGUAAAGGCCUACCAAGGCGACGAUCUGUAGCGGGUCUGAGAGGAUGAUCCGCCACACUGGGACUGAGACACGGCCCAGACUCCUACGGGAGGCAGCAGUGGGGAAUUUUGGACAAUGGGCGCAAGCCUGAUCCAGCCAUGCCGCGUGCGGGACGAAGGCCUCGG